rnacentral:rRNA from 1 species
AGCUCCAAUAGCGUAUAUUAAAGUUGCUGCAGUUAAAAAGCUCGUAGUUGCAUUUCCGAGGCAAGGGAUUAGUCCGACCUUUGGUGGGUAUUUAAUCCUCUUGCCUCGUCCUUGAGUGGUGCUUCUUGGUAUUAAGUUAUCGAGGAGAUAGCCGCUCAUCGUUUACUGUGAGAAAAUUAGAGUGUUCAAAGCAGGCUUAUGCCGUUGAAUAUAUUAGCAUGGAAUAAUAAGAUAGGACCUCGGGACUAUUUUGUUGGUUUGAGAACCAAGGUAAUGAUGAAUAGGGACAGUUGGGGGUAUUCGUAUUCAGUUGUCAGAGGUGAAAUUCUUAGAUUUACGGAAGACGAACUACUGCGAAAGCAUUUACCAAGGAUGUUUGCA